rnacentral:rRNA from 1 species
GCUCCAGCUUGCUGGGGUGGAUGAGUGGCGAACGGGUGAGUAACACGUGAGUAACCUUCCCUUGACUCUGGGAUAAGCCCGGGAAACUGGGUCUAAUACCGGAUAUGACCUCCUGUCGCAUGGUGGGGGGUGGAAAGAUUUAUCGGUCUUGGAUGGACUCGCGGCCUAUCAGCUUGUUGGUGAGGUAAUGGCUCACCAAGGCGACGACGGGUAGCCGGCCUGAGAGGGUGACCGGCCACACUGGGACUGAGACACGGCCCAGACUCCUACGGGAGGCAGCAGUGGGGAAUAUUGCACAAUGGGCGCAAGCCUGAUGCAGCGACGCCGCGUGAGGGAUGACGGCCUUCGGGUUGUAAACCUCUUUCAGUAGGGAAGAAGCCUUCGGGUGACGGUACCUGCAGAAGAAGCGCCGGCUAACUACGUGCCAGCAGCCGCGGUAAUACGUAGGGCGCGAGCGUUAUCCGGAAUUAUUGGGCGUAAAGAGCUCGUAGGCGGUUUGUCGCGUCUGCCGUGAAAGUCCGGGGCUUAACCCCGGAUCUGCGGUGGGUACGGGCAGACUAGAGUGCAGUAGGGGAGACCGGAAUUCCUGGUGUAGCGGUGAAAUGCGCAGAUAUCAGGAGGAACACCGAUGGCGAAGGCAGGUCUCUGGGCUGUUACUGACGCUGAGGAGCGAAAGCAUGGGGAGCGAACAGGAUUAGAUACCCUGGUAGUCCAUGCCGUAAACGUUGGGCACUAGGUGUGGGGGACAUUCCACGUUUUCCGCGCCGCAGCUAACGCAUUAAGUGCCCCGCCUGGGGAGUACGGCCGCAAGGCUAAAACUCAAAGGAAUUGACGGGGGCCCGCACAAGCGGCGGAGCAUGCGGAUUAAUUCGAUGCAACGCGAAGAACCUUACCAAGGCUUGACAUGUUCUCGAUCGCCACAGAGAUGUGGUUUCCCCUUUGGGGCGGGUUCACAGGUGGUGCAUGGUUGUCGUCAGCUCGUGUCGUGAGAUGUUGGGUUAAGUCCCGCAACGAGCGCAACCCUCGUUCCAUGUUGCCAGCGGGUUAUGCCGGGGACUCAUGGGAGACUGCCGGGGUCAACUCGGAGGAAGGUGGGGACGACGUCAAAUCAUCAUGCCCCUUAUGUCUUGGGCUUCACGCAUGCUACAAUGGCCGGUACAAUGGGUUGCGAUACUGUGAGGUGGAGCUAAUCCCAAAAAGCCGGUCUCAGUUCGGAUUGGGGUCUGCAACUCGACCCCAUGAAGUCGGAGUC